rnacentral:rRNA from 1 species
AUUGAACGCUGGCGGCAGGCUUAACACAUGCAAGUCGAGCGGGGGAAGGUAGCUUGCUACCGGACCUAGCGGCGGACGGGUGAGUAAUGCUUAGGAAUCUGCCUAUUAGUGGGGGACAACAUCUCGAAAGGGAUGCUAAUACCGCAUACGUCCUACGGGAGAAAGCAGGGGAUCUUCGGACCUUGCGCUAAUAGAUGAGCCUAAGUCAGAUUAGCUAGUUGGUGGGGUAAAGGCCUACCAAGGCGACGAUCUGUAGCGGGUCUGAGAGGAUGAUCCGCCACACUGGGGCUGAGACACGGCCCAGACUCCUACGGGAGGCAGCAGUGGGGAAUAUUGGACAAUGGGGGGAACCCUGAUCCAGCCAUGCCGCGUGUGUGAAGAAGGCCUUAUGGUUGUAAAGCACUUUAAGCGAGGAGGAGGCUCUUUUGGUUAAUACCCAAGAUGAGUGGACGUUACUCGCAGAAUAAGCACCGGCUAACUCUGUGCCAGCCGCCGCCGUAC